UACGAAGGGGGCUAGCGUUGCUCGGAAUUACUGGGCGUAAAGGGCGCGUAGGCGGAUGUUUAAGUCGAGGGUGAAAGCCCAGGGCUCAACCCUGGAAAUGCCUUCGAUACUGGACAUCUUGAGUACGGGAGAGGUGAGUGGAACUCCGAGUGUAGAGGUGAAAUUCGUAGAUAUUCGGAAGAACACCAGUGGCGAAGGCGACUCACUGGCCCGUUACUGACGCUGAGGCGCGAAAGCGUGGGGAGCAAACAGG
rnacentral:rRNA from 1 species